GUAUUUUUCUGCCCAAUGCAGCCGUUUCUGCUUGUGAGCAUUGGUUAGUGGUGGCCGAAUAGAAGGUUUAUGCACAGUUGUAAGACUCUGGAGGACUCUACACCUUGAUGUCUGUGGGACUCCAGAGGCACCAGCAGCUUCAAAUAUCUGUUUGCUGCUAUGUAAUGGUAUUAAACAAAAUAUUUAAUCUUUGUGACACUUAAAUAGAAUUUGCAUAAUAAUUUCGAACAGGGUGUAUAUGCCUGUCUGUCUAUGUAUUUAUUUAUGUAUCCAUAUAUUCGAGUUGUGUACAAAGAAAAACUUCAGUUCAUUUAAAUCGACUCAUCUGGAAAUUAAAAGGUUUUGGUUCAGACAGAUCAAAUUUCAUUAUACGACGACAUGCGGAAUUUGGUGCAUCGCCAAUCACCCAUAGUUCAGAUGAAUUGAGAUCCAUUGGAAUUGGAUCAGACGUUUGAGGGCAUCAUAUUUCGGAAGAAAUCCAGUGAGGGUUUAAACAUACAAGAGAAAUUAACGAGCCAAUUCUGGGAGCCUCUCUGUAUCUAUUUGAAACAUUACAUUACUGUUAAAAAAGAAUUAUGAAAUAUCUGGAACUUAUAAAAUUUGGAAUGGGCACAAAUGCAGCAUUUGGAUCCCCA